CAGGUUCCUAAGCGCCGUCCACGCCCACCUGUCGACUGCUCGCUACGUUUUGAUAG
rnacentral:sRNA from 1 species